rnacentral:misc_RNA from 1 species
CUUUGACCAGAUUAACAGGUAUAUAUUCGUAACUUAGGCCUUUCAGAUUUAGAGCAAUCCGGACGCGACAAGAGCAAGAGCUUCUCCAGUAGGAAUAGAGCUUGAGCUUGUUUUUGGGCUGUUCAACAGUUGCCAUAUGAAAUUAACAGAGAAAGAAUAGGAUUCUAAUGGGGUUUUCAAGUGUGCUGCUAUGGAAAUGCAGGAAAGGAAAUAGAGAUCAGAGUCCAAAAGCAACACUUCACUUCAUCUAAUCUUCAUCUUCAUCUUCUUGGAUUUUUUAUUUUUUAUUUUUUUUCAAAGAAAAUGACAUUCUUCCUAGAGCAC